rnacentral:rRNA from 1 species
UUUCUGGAUGGGUGGCGAGUGGCGGACGGGUGAGUAACGCGUAGGAAUAUGCCUUAAAGAGGGGGAUAACUUGGGGAAACUCAAGCUAAUACCGCGUAAUCUCUGAGGAGAAAAGCUGGGGACCUUCGGGCCUGGCGCUUUAAGAAUAGCCUGCGUACGAUUAGCUAGUUGGUGGGGUAAGGGCCUACCAAGGCGACGAUCGUUAGCUGGUCUGAGAGGAUGGCCAGCCACACUGGGACUGAGACACGGCCCAGACUCCUACGGGAGGCAGCAGUGGGGAAUAUUGGACAAUGGGGGGAACCCUGAUCCAGCAAUGCCGCGUGUGUGAAGAAGGCCUGAGGGUUGUAAAGCACUUUCAGUGGGGAGGAGGGAUGACAGGUUAAGAGCUAGUCAUUUGGACGUUACCCACAGAAGAACACCGGCUAACUCCGUGCC